UGCUGACAAAAUGGUAUUCUAGCUUAAUGCACUAUCUGGUAUAUAUAUGCAUUCCACAAUAUGUUGUCUGGAUUGCAUUUAUGGUAAUAUAAAUAGUAGAUACAUGUGAAGAAAUGUGUAAUGUGGUGUUAAGGAAUGCUAACAUGUAUAUUUUAAAAUGUCCAGAUGCACUCCUGAAACUUUUGCAGAGACCCUCACCUCCUAAAGAAAGCUCAGCUGAUCCCCCAGGUCUGAACCUUGUUGUGGAUGAUCAAGGCUUUAGGGCCUUGGUGUCUCUUUUGGACCCCAUCUAUGUCCUUCCGUCAAGGCAGACCUUGAAAUCUAUGGUGGAGGCCAAGUAUCACGAGAAGAAGCAGAAGGCCAAAGAAAAGGUCCAGAAGGCUACUGCUGUGGCUUUGACCUCUGAUAUGUGGACAUCCAUCCACAUGGACUCGUACCUGGCCUUCACUUGCCAUUUUGUGGAUGAAGAGGACAGGUUGGCUACUGUUUUGCUUUGGGAAGCGGCACACAGCUUCAAAUAUUGCCUCUGUGAAAGGGUCCAUAAUGGAGGAAUGGGGAAUCCCCACAUCCAAAGUUAUGUGCCUAACUACAGAUGGGGCCUCUAACAUGACCUUGUGUAGUACCAUGAUGGAGAUCAGGCACAGCCACUGCAUUGCACAUGCAUUGAAUUUAGUUGUGAAGAAAUCAAUGAAAUUAACAACUGGUCUGGAGGAGGUCCGCACUAAGGCAAGGGAUAUUGCCACACACUUUAGAACCAGCACUGUAGCUAGAUAGCGCCUUCUCGGUCUUCCGAAGCAAAUGGGUGCUCAAUGCACAAAACUCAUUCAAGAGGUGGAAACAAGAUGGAACAGCACCCUGGACACGCUGCAAAGGCUGUAUGAGCAGAGAGAGCCAGUGGGUGCAGCCUUAGCCUCUCUGCAAACAGAUGUGUCACCACUCACCUCAAACCAAUACGCCAGUAUUGGUCAGUGCAUUGCACUUUUGGCCCCGUUUAAAGAAGCAACAGUCGAGCUUUCUACUGAGAAACACGUGUCUGGAUCUAAAAUAAUUCCCUUGGUUAAGUUGUUGCGCCACACAAUUGCAGCCAAGCAAAGGCAGCUGACUGAUGAAAUGUCCAAAGUUCUGGGAAAGCAUUUACUAGGCCUAAUGCACGAGAAGCUCGGAAACUAUGAACUGGCUGGACAGCAUGCUCUGGCCACGCUCCUGGAUCCUCGUUUCAAAACAAUGGGGUUUUGCAACCCCACAAACCAGAAAAAUGCCAUAAGAAAACUUACUGCUGAAACAGCCACUGUGAUAAGGCAACAAUCACCUGAUCCUGCACCCUCACAUGAUGAAACACCAUCAACUUUCAGAAGAUGCACCUUCAGCGUCUGAUUCCUCAGGACUGGGGAUCUUUUAGACACCCAAGUUCUUGAGAAGAAGACGGUGAGAAGUGCGUCAGCCAAUGCCACUGUGGAGACCACCAGAUAUUUGGCUGAGCCAAACAUUCCACGGAGUGAAGACCCGCUGAAAUAUUGGGUCAAACACAAACAUUGUCAUCUAUUUGUAUUGGCACGUAAUCUUUUGAGCAUCCUUGCCUCAUCCGUGCGAGCGUGUUUUUUCUAAGGCGGGGGAAAUAGUUUCUGCAAAAAGAAACCGACUCAACCCCAAUACUGUGGAGAAAAUUGUGUUUCUCAAUAAAAAUCAAUAAUAAUUUCAUGCCCCAUCUCAUGUGUCCUCAAUGUCCUGUCAUAACAAACCUGUCCAAAAGCACAAUCACUGCCCCACUGACCUUUCCUCUG